rnacentral:misc_RNA from 1 species
AGUCGUAACAAGGUAUCCGUAGGUGAACCUGCGGAUGGAUCAUUAUAGGGUGUUGGGUAAUUGUGAGUGGUUUUAUUAUUAGUAGUUUGAGCGGUGUUGGUUGGGAUGCGAAGCAGGAUUGCCAAGCAGGAUUGCCAAGCAGGAUUGCCAAGCAAGACAGCCAACAUUGCCAGCCAACAUUGCCUCACGUUAAACUCUAUAAAUCUAACAAUUACAUACAAAAAAAAACAACUUUUAGCAACGGAUCUCUUGGCUCUC